CUAUAGGAUCAGCUCAUUGCAGUGCAUUCAGUGAUCGAUUCGGAGAGGAUUCUCGUGGGAAAUUCGUAGUGAUUGAUCCAUCUCUAGACACUAACUACGCAAAUGAGCUAAUCAGACAAUGUCCUGCAGGAGCAAGUGAAUCAAUCACAGUUAAAAAUGAUCCUGAAACCUCCAUUACUUUUGAUAAUCAGUAUUACCGAAAUCUUUUAACCCACAAAGGGCUCUUCCAAUCGGAUUCUGUUCUUAUAGAGGAUGAAAGAACGAGGAAACAAGUAGAGGAAUUUGCAAAUGAUGAAAGUAUGUUUUUU
rnacentral:lncRNA from 1 species